rnacentral:rRNA from 1 species
AGCGUUGUCCGGAAUUAUUGGGCGUAAAGAGCUCGUAGGCGGUGUGUCACGUCGGCCGUGAAAACCUGCAGCUUAACUGUGGGCGUGCGGUCGAUACGGGCAUCACUGGAGUUCGGCAGGGGAGACUGAAAUUCCUGGUGUAGCGGUGAAAUGCGCAGAUAUCAGGAGGAACACCGGUGGCGAAGGCGGGUCUCUGGGCCGAUACUGACGCUGAGGAGCGAAAGCGUGGGGAGCAAACAGG